rnacentral:rRNA from 1 species
GUGCACCAGUCGCGAAAACUUUGCAAUACACGAAAGUGUGACAGGGCUAUCCCGAGUGCCGUCCGCUGAGGAUGGCUUUUACCCAGUUUAGAAAGCUGGGGGAAUAAGGAGAGGGCAAGUCUGGUGUCAGCCGCCGCGGUAAUACCAGCUCUCCGAGUGGUGUGGAUGUUUAUUGGGCCUAAAGCAUCCGUAGCUGGCUGUUCAAGUCCCCUGUUAAAUCCACCGAUUUAAUCGUUGGUUUGCGGGGGAUACUGUUCGGCUAGGGGGCGGGAGAGGCAGACGGUAUUUUCGGGGUAGGGGUGAAAUCCUAUAAUCCCGGGAAGACCACCAGUGGCGAAGGCUGUCUGCUAGAACGCGCCCGACGGUGAGGGAUGAAAGCUGGGGGAGCGAACCGGAUUAGAUACCCGGGUAGUCC